ACAAGGCAGAUCUCUCAGUGCGCAGUUGUUCUGAAGUUGAGCUGACCGCCAAUAUGCGCAACUGCAUUCUCUUGGGAUCCUUUGCUAUCAUGUUCAGCAUACUGCAAGCCUCAGGACACAGAAACGGCACUCAGGAAGUCAACAUUACUAUUACCUGCUUUAGGAAUGACACUUGCAGAUACCCUGAAGUGUGCGAACUUUGUCCAAAGCCUGAACCGAGUGGACGCAUAAGAGAAACAGUUUUUUACUUCGAUAACAGUACUAGAGGCUGCGAAGCAACCAUUGCAAACACGGAGAGAAGUUGCAACAGCUUUGAAACCUGGGAGGAGUGUGCGCACUUUUGUGGGCUUGAAUAUGACUCUGAAGAAGAUAAGUGAUUCUGCAGGAAUCACUGGUUUUCAACAUUAAACGUGCUCCGGAUCCUGACAUCGUAAUUGGUUUACUGCUUUUGUUUUUCCCGAUGCGCCAGCCACCAAAGCACACUGUUAUUUACGGGAUUCUUUACAGCUUUUUUACUGGAUGCCGAAUUGCCCUCAUAUUGUUCUUAUCGAUGAAUAAAAUUAAUACUUCAAA